AGUGAACGUUGGCGGCGUGGAUUAGGCAUGCAAGUCGAGCGAGAACCGUAGCAAUACGGGGACAGCGGCGAAAGGGACAGUAAUGUGUAGGUACCUACCCCGAGGUCUGGGAUAGCUGCGGGAAACUGCAGGUAAUACCGGAUAAUGUCUUCGGACCAAAGGUGUGAUUCCACCUUGGGAGGGGCCUGCAUCCUAUUGGCUUGUUGGCGGGGUAACGGCCCACCAAGGCGACGAUGGGUAGCGGGUGUGAGAGCACGACCCGCGUCAUUGGGACUGAGACACUGCCCAGACACCUACGGGUGGUUGCAGUCGAGGAUCUUCGGCAAUGGGCGCAAGCCUGACCGAGCGACGCCGCGUGCGGGAUGAAGGCCUUCGGGUUGUAAACCGCUGUCGUAGGGGAGGAAAUGCAGGUGGGUUCUCCCUCCUGUUUGACCUAUCCUAGGAGGAAGUACGGGCUAAGUUCGUGCCAGCCGCCGCGGUAAUAC
rnacentral:rRNA from 1 species